UGUGCAAGCAUAGGGCCCUA
rnacentral:misc_RNA from 1 species